rnacentral:rRNA from 1 species
UACAGGGGGUGCAAACGUUGCUCGGAAUUAUUGGGCGUAAAGCGCACGUAGGCGGUUUGUUAUGUCGGACGUGAAAGCCCUUGGCUCAACUGAGGAAGUGCAUCCGAAACUGGCAAGCUAGAGUAUGUAAGAGGGUCGCGGAAUUCCCGGUGUAGAGGUGAAAUUCGUAGAUAUCGGGAGGAACACCGGUGGCGAAGGCGGCGACCUGGGACAAUACUGACGCUGAGGUGCGAAAGCGUGGGGAGCAAACAGG